UAGUCCACGCCGUAAACGAUGGACACUAGUUGUUGGGAAUUUAUUUUCAGUGACUAAGCGAAAGCGAUAAGUGUCCCACCUGGGGAGUACGAUCGCAAGAUUGAAACUCAAAGGAAUUGACGGGGGCCCGCACAAGCGGUGGAGCAUGUGGUUUAAUUCGAUGAUACGCGAGGAACCUUACCAGGGCUUAAAUGUAGGUUGCAUUAGUUAGAGAUAGCUAUUUCUUCGGACUACUUACAAGGUGCUGCAUGGUUGUCGUCAGCUCGUGCCGUGAGGUGUCAGGUUAAGUCCUAUAACGAGCGCAACCCCUAUUGUUAGUUGCCAGCAUGUAAAGAUGGGGACUCUAGCAAGACUGCCGGUGCAAACCGUGAGGAAGGUGGGGAUGACGUCAAAUCAUCACGGCCCUUAUGUCCUGGGCUACACACGUGCUACAAUGGUAGGGACAAUGAGCAGCGACUGGGCGACCACGAGCGAAUCUAUAAACCCUAUCACAGUUCGGAUCGG
rnacentral:rRNA from 1 species